UACGUAGGGUGCGAGCGUUGUCCGGAAUUACUGGGCGUAAAGCGUGCGCAGGCGGCUUUGCAAGACAGAUGUGAAAUCCCCGGGCUCAACCUGGGAACUGCAUUUGUGACUGCAAGGCUAGAGUACGGCAGAGGGGGAUGGAAUUCCGCGUGUAGCAGUGAAAUGCGUAGAUAUGCGGAGGAACACCAAUGGCGAAGGCAAUCCCCUGGGCCUGGUACUGACGCUCAUGCACGAAAGCGUGGGGAGCAAACAGG
rnacentral:rRNA from 1 species